UCUUUGAUGCUACAGUUAAGUGGCAAGUUGUCAACGAUGAAAGCGGUCGAGCUUUCAUCAACAUUCCAAAAUGGAUUAAAAUGAUUUGAAACUAUGUUGAUUGGGAACUAUGGAAAUGGACCUGGACCGGAUUAGGACUUUUCGACUCUGAUUUUAAUUUGUAUAUUUUAGUACAGCAACUUCGUAGAUUAAUAGAUAUAAAUGUAAUUUGUAACACAAGAAAUAAAGUUUCAUUUUCGACAACAUA